rfam:Oryza glumipatula chromosome 12, whole genome shotgun sequence.
UUUAAGUGCAACCAUGAGUUUUCGCGCUCAAUUUCGAUCGUCCGUCUUAUUUGAUUUUUUUAUAAUUAGUAUUUUUAUUGUUAUGAGAUGAUAAAACAUGAAUAGUAUUUUACUCGUGACUUAUGUUUUUAAUUUUUUUCAAAAACUUUUCAAAUAAGACGGACGAUCAAAGUUGGGCACGGAAAACCAUGGCUGCACUCAAA